rnacentral:rRNA from 1 species
UGUGUAUCAGUACAUGGCAUAUCAAUAAGCGGAGGAAAAGAAACUAACAAGGAUUCCCCUAGUAACGGCGAGUGAAGCGGGAAGAGCUCAAAUUUGAAAUCUUCAAGGGUUUCCCUUGACGAAUUGUAGUUUAAAGAAGUGUUUUCUGUUAGAGAGGUGGUAAAAGUUCUUUGAAAUAGGACAUCAUAGAGGGUGAGAAUCCCGUAUUUGAUCACUUUCUACUAACGUUGUGAUACACUUUCAAAGAGUCGGAUUGUUUGGGAAUGCAGUCCAAAAUGGGUGGUAAAUUUCAUCUAAAGCUAAAUAUUGGCGAGAGACCGAUAGCGAACAAGUACCGUGAGGGAAAGAUGAAAAGAACUUUGAAAAGAGAGUUAAACAGUACGUGAAAUUGUCAAAAGGGAAGCGUUUGACACCAGUGUUGUUUUCUCGAAAAUCAAUUAAAAAAGGCCGGAUUUUGUGUUGUAUUGACCUUAAAAGCUUUCUUCACUCUUUUCUUGUCUUUUUUAAUGCACUUUUCGUUAACAAGUCAACAUCAGUUUCUUUUGUUGUAAAAGGGUCAUUGGAAGGUGGCUUUCUUUUCGGAGAAAGUGUUUAUAGCCUUUGAUCUCUGCAACCGGAGAGACUGAGGUCUGCAGCGUAGACUCUACGGGGUUAGAUACAUUUGUGCUAAGCUAUAGCUUUUUAUAGACAACUUGUUGACUAUAUUUAGUCUUGUGGCUUACUCGCUUAUGCUAUUUUACCUACGCUUAGGAUGUUGACAGCAGUAUAGACUGU